rnacentral:piRNA from 1 species
UGGGAGGAAAGUUACACUAUACUCGUUCA